GAUGAACGCUGGCGGCGUGCCUAAUACAUGCAAGUCGAACGCUGAAGCGAGGAGCUUGCUCUUCUUGCAUUAGUGGCGGACGGGUGAGUAACGCGUGGAUAACCUGCCUUUUAGCGGGGGAUAACUACGGGAAACGAGAGCUAAUACCGCAUAACAAUUUAUGACACAUGGCUCUUUAGUGAAAGAGGCAUUUGCUGUACUAUAUGAAGGGCCUGCGUUGUCUUAGCCAGUAGGUUAGGUAACGGCUCUCCUAGGCGACGAUACAUAGCCGACCUGAGAGGGUGGUCGGCCACACUGGGACUGGGACACGGCCCAGACUCCUACGGGAGGCAGCAGUAGGGGAUCUUCGGCAAUGGGGGCAACCCUGACCGGGCCACGCCGCGUGAGUGAAGAAGGGUUUCGGAUCGUAAAGCUCUGUUGUAAGUCAAGAACGAGUGUGAGAGUGGAAAGUUCACACUGUGACGGUAGCUUACCAGAAAGGGACGGCUAACUACGUG
rnacentral:rRNA from 1 species